rnacentral:rRNA from 1 species
UACGUAGGUGGCAAGCGUUAUCCGGAAUUAUUGGGCGUAAAGCGCGCGUAGGCGGUUUCUUAAGUCUGAUGUGAAAGCCCACGGCUCAACCGUGGAGGGUCAUUGGAAACUGGGAAACUUGAGUGCAGAAGAGGAGAGUGGAAUUCCAUGUGUAGCGGUGAAAUGCGCAGAGAUAUGGAGGAACACCAGUGGCGAAGGCGGCUCUCUGGUCUGUAACUGACGCUGAUGUGCGAAAGCGUGGGGAUCAAACAGG